rnacentral:rRNA from 1 species
CAAGUCGAACGGGAAUCUUCGGAUUCUAGUGGCGGACGGGUGAGUAACGCGUAAGAAUCUAACUUCAGGACGGGGACAACAGUUGGAAACGACUGCUAAUACCCGAUGUGCCGCAAGGUGAAACCUAAUUGGCCUGAAGAAGAGCUUGCGUCUGAUUAGCUAGUUGGUGGGGUAAGAGCCUACCAAGGCGACGAUCAGUAGCUGGUCUGAGAGGAUGAGCAGCCACACUGGGACUGAGACACGGCCCAGACUCCUACGGGAGGCAGCAGUGGGGAAUUUUCCGCAAUGGGCGAAAGCCUGACGGAGCAACGCCGCGUGAGGGAGGAAGGUCUUUGGAUUGUAAACCUCUUUUCUCAAGGAAGAAGUUCUGACGGUACUUGAGGAAUCAGCCUCGGCUAACUCCGUGCCAGCAGCCGCGGUAAUACGGGGGAGGCAAGCGUUAUCCGGAAUUAUUGGGCGUAAAGCGUCCGCAGGUGGUCAGCCAAGUCUGCCGUCAAAUCAGGUUGCUUAACGACCUAAAGGCGGUGGAAACUGGCAGACUAGAGAGCAGUAGGGGUAGCAGGAAUUCCCAGUGUAGCGGUGAAAUGCGUAGAGAUUGGGAAGAACAUCGGUGGCGAAAGCGUGCUACUGGGCUGUAUCUGACACUCAGGGACGAAAGCUAGGGGAGCGAAAGGGAUUAGAUACCCCUGUAGUCCUAGCCGUAAACGAUGGAUACUAGGCGUGGCUUGUAUCGACCCGAGCCGUGCCGAAGCUAACGCGUUAAGUAUCCCGCCUGGGGAGUACGCACGCAAGUGUGAAACUCAAAGGAAUUGACGG